UACGUAGGAGGCAAGCGUUGUCCGGAAUUACUGGGCGUAAAGCGCGUGUAGGUGGUGGGACAAGUCUGCUGUGAAAGCGCCUGGCUUAACCGGGCGAGGUCGGCGGAAACUGUCCGACUCGAGGACGGUAGAGGGGGGUGGAAUUCCCGGUGUAGUGGUGAAAUGCGUUGAUAUGCACAGGAACUCCGGUGGCGAAGGCGGCUUGCUGGACCUCUUCUGACGCUGAGGCGCGAAAGCUAGGGGAGCGAACGGG
rnacentral:rRNA from 1 species